rnacentral:rRNA from 1 species
CGGGGUGCACCAGGCGCGAAAAUUUUACAAUGCCGGCAACGGCGAUAAGGGAACCUCGAGUGCCAGGUUACAAAUCUGGCUGUCGUGAUGCCUAAAAAGCAUUGCAUAGCAAGGGCCGGGCAAGACCGGUGCCAGCCGCCGCGGUAACACCGGCGGCUCGAGUGGUAACCGUUAUUAUUGGGUCUAAAGGGUCUGUAGCCGGCCGGAUAAGUCUCUUGGGAAAUCUGGCAGCUUAACUGUCAGGCUUUCAGGAGAUACUGUCUGGCUCGAGGCCGGGAGAGGUGAGAGGUACUUCAGGGGUAGGGGUGAAAUCUUGUAAUCCUUGAAGGACCACCAGUGGCGAAGGCGUCUCACCAGAACGGACCUGACGGCAAGGGACGAAAGCUAGGGGCACGAACCGGAUUAGAUACCCGGGUAGUCCUAGCCGUAAACGAUACUCGCUAGGUGUCGGCCACGGUGCGACCGUGGUCGGUGCCGUAGGGAAGCCGUGAAGCGAGCCACCUGGGAAGUACGGCCGCAAGGCUGAAACUUAAAGGAAUUGGCGGGGG